rnacentral:rRNA from 1 species
AGUGAACGCUGGCGGUAGGCCUAACACAUGCAAGUCGAACGGCAGCACAGUAAGAGCUUGCUCUUACGGGUGGCGAGUGGCGGACGGGUGAGGAAUACAUCGGAAUCUACUUUUUCGUGGGGGAUAACGUAGGGAAACUUACGCUACUACUGCAUACGACCUACGGGUGAAAGCAGCCGAUCUUCGGACCUUGCGCGAUUCCAUGAGCCGAUGUCGGAUUAGCUAGUUGGCGGGGUAAAGGCCCACCACGGCGCCGAUCCAUAGCUGGUCUGAGAGGAUGAUCAGCCACACUGGAACAGAGGAUCGGUACAAACUCGUGCGGGAGGACGCAGUGGGAAAUAUUGAGCGAUGGGCACAAGCGUGAUCCAGCCAAACCGCGUAGGUGCAGAAGGACUUCGGGUAGUGAAGUCCUUUUGUUGGGAAAGAAAAACAGCAGGUUAAUACGCCGCUGUUCUGACGGUACCUAAGGAAGAAGCACCGGCUAACUUCGUG